GGCGCGGGGUGGAGCAGCCCGGUAGCUCGUCAGGCUCAUAACCUGAAGGCCGCAGGUUCAAA
rnacentral:tRNA from 1 species